CCCCUCUCAGGGUCGCACCUGGAGAGUUUCCAGUACUCCACCAGUCCCUACUAGGGGAGGGAGAGUCAAGGAGAGGUAUAUCCAUUCCAUUUCUAGCUUGGCCAGUGGCUAGCAAAUGGAAGGCCAUCUGCUUCAAAU